UAGGAAAAAAUCAAUGUCUUCAAACUCCAA
rnacentral:piRNA from 1 species